GGGGAAUAUUGCACAAUGGGGGAAACCCUGAUGCAGCGACGCCGCGUGGAGGAAGAAGGUCUUCGGAUUGUAAACUCCUGUUGUUGGGGAAGAUAAUGACGGUACCCAACAAGAAAGUGACGGCUAACUACGUGCCAGCAGCCGCGGUAAAACGUAGGUCACAAGCGUUGUCCGGAAUUACUGGGUGUAAAGGGAGCGCAGGCGGGAAGACAAGUUGGAAGUGAAAUCUAUGGGCUCAACCCAUAAACUGCUUUCAAAACUGUUUUUCUUGAGUAGUGCAGAGGUAGGCGGAAUUCCCGGUGUAGCGGUGGAAUGCGUAGAUAUCGGGAGGAACACCAGUGGCGAAGGCGGCCUACUGGGCACCAACUGACGCUGAGGCUCGAAAGUGUGGGUAGCAAACAGGAUUAGAUACCCUGGUAGUCCACACCGUAAACGAUGAUUACUAGGUGUUGGAGGAUUGACCCCUUCAGUGCCGCAGUUAACACAAUAAGUAAUCCACCUGGGGAGUACGACCGCAAGGUUGAAACUCAAAGGAAUUGACGGGGGCCCGCACAAGCAGUGGAGUAUGUGGUUUAAUUCGACGCAACGCGAAGAACCUUACCAAGUCUUGACAUCCCUUGACAGACAUAGAAAUAUGUAAUCUCUUCGGAGCAAGGAGACAGGUGGUGCAUGGUUGUCGUCAGCUCGUGUCGUGAGAUGUUGGGUUAAGUCCCGCAACGAGCGCAACCCUUAUGGUCAGUUACUACGCAAGAGGACUCUGGCCAGACUGCCGUUGACAAAACGGAGGAAGGUGGGGAUGACGUCAAAUCAUCAUGCCCUUUAUGACUUGGGCUACACACGUACUACAAUGGCGUUAAACAAAGAGAAGCAAGACCGCGAGGUGGAGCAAAACUCAGAAACAACGUCCCAGUUCGGACUGCAGGCUGCAACUCGCCUGCACGAAGUCGGAAUUGCUAGUAAUCGUGGAUCAGCAUGCCACGGUGAAUACGUUCCCG
rnacentral:rRNA from 1 species